UACGUAGGGUCCGAGCGUUGUCCGGAAUUACUGGGCGUAAAGAGCGCGUAGGCGGCACGGUACGACCGGUGUGAAAGCCCCCGGCUCAACUGGGGAGGGUCACCGGUAACGGCCGAGCUAUGAGUGCAGGAGAGGGAAGUGGAACUCCGGGAGUAGCGGUGAAAUGCGUAGAGACCCGGAGGAACACCAGUGGCGAAGGCGGCUUCCUGGUCUGCAACUGACGCUGUGGCGCGAAAGCUAGGGGAGCAAACGGG
rnacentral:rRNA from 1 species